AGCCAAAGAAGGGGUCCAAGAACACUAAACCCAUCACAAAAACUGAGAUGUGUGAUAGCUUCUUUAAUUUCUUCACUCCACCUCAAGUUCCAGAUGAUGAUGAGGAAAUUGAUGAGGACACAGUAAGUUUGCCCUUGUACAUGGCUGCUCUUUAAUUUUGAGACUUGUUUGCAUGAGCAUGAUCUGAUGUUUCUCACCUUUCAACAGGCUGAACAGUUGCAAAACCAAAUGGAGCAAGAUUACGAUAUUGGGUAUGCUCAUGUCAAUAUGUCACAUCUAUUGUAUUGUACACAGUGGCUGCUGUGUUGUGCUUUAAAGUUUAUUUCCUAGUUCUAAGUUGUCCAUUCUUGCUGCAGAUCUACCAUUAGAGACAAGAUUAUCCCGCAUGCUGUUUCAUGGUUCACUGGUGAGGCUGCUCAAGAUGAGGACUUUGAUGGCAUCAUGGAUGGUGAAGAUGAUGAUGAUGAAGAUGAUGACGAGGAUGAAGAUGAAGAUGAGGACGAUGAGGAAGACGAAGAUGACGAGGGUGAUAAGAAGGUAUGGAAGGCUGAGAGCAGUUUCAUGCUUUAACUUGAUUAGUUUCAUAAAUCCUCAUUUCUUACCAUUUUUGCUUUGUUGACUGGAAC
rnacentral:lncRNA from 1 species